GUGCGGGUUUAGACCCGCAGCGGAAAGCUCAGUAACACGUGGCCAAGCUACCCUGUGGACGGGAAUACUCUCGGGAAACUGAGGCUAAUCCCCGAUAACGCUUUGCUCCUGGAAGGGGCAAAGCCGGAAACGCUCCGGCGCCACAGGAUGCGGCUGCGGUCGAUUAGGUAGACGGUGGGGUAACGGCCCACCGUGCCCAUAAUCGGUACGGGUUGUGAGAGCAAGAGCCCGGAGACGGAAUCUGAGACAAGAUUCCGGGCCCUACGGGGCGCAGCAGGCGCGAAACCUUUACACUGUACGAAAGUGCGAUAAGGGGACUCCGAGUGUGAAGGCAUAGAGCCUUCACUUUUGUACACCGUAAGGUGGUGCACGAAUAAGGACUGGGCAAGACCGGUGCCAGCCGCCGCGGUAAUACCGGCAGUCCGAGUGAUGGCCGAUCUUAUUGGGCCUAAAGCGUCCGUAGCUGGCUGAACAAGUCCGUUGGGAAAUCUGUCCGCUUAACGGGCAGGCGUCCAGCGGAAACUGUUCAGCUUGGGACCGGAAGACCUGAGGGGUACGUCUGGGGUAGGAGUGAAAUCCUGUAAUCCUGGACGGACCGCCGGUGGCGAAAGCGCCUCAGGAGAACGGAUCCGACAGUGAGGGACGAAAGCUAGGGUCUCGAACCGGAUUAGAUACCCGGGUAGUCCUAGCUGUAAACGAUGUCCGCUAGGUGGUGGCGCAGGCUACGAGCCUGCGCUGUGCCGUAGGGAAGCCGAGAAGCGGACCGCCUGGGAAGUACGUCUGCAAGGAUGAAACUUAAAGG
rnacentral:rRNA from 1 species